rnacentral:rRNA from 1 species
UACGUAGGGGGCAAGCGUUAUCCGGAUUUACUGGGUGUAAAGGGGGCGCAGACGGCGAUGCAAGCCAGGAGUGAAAGCCCGGGGCCCAACCCCGGGACUGCUCUUGGAACUGCGUGGCUGGAGUGCAGGAGGGGCAGGCGGAAUUCCUGGUGUAGCGGUGAAAUGCGUAGAUAUCAGGAGGAACACCGGCGGCGAAGGCGGCCUGCUGGACCGCGACUGACGUUGAGGCUCGAAAGCGUGGGGAGCAAACAGG